rnacentral:rRNA from 1 species
GACGAACGCUGGCGGCGUGCUUAACACAUGCAAGUCGAACGGAAAGGCCCUGCUUUUGUGGGAUGCUCGAGUGGCGAACGGGUGAGUAACACGUGAGUAACCUGCCCUUGACUUUGGGAUAACUUCAGGAAACUGGGGCUAAUACCGGAUAGGAGCUCCUGCUGCAUGGUGGGGGUUGGAAAGUUUCGGCGGUUGGGGAUGGACUCGCGGCUUAUCAGCUUGUUGGUGGGGUAGUGGCUUACCAAGGCUUUGACGGGUAGCCGGCCUGAGAGGGUGACCGGCCACAUUGGGACUGAGAUACGGCCCAGACUCCUACGGGAGGCAGCAGUGGGGAAUAUUGCACAAUGGGCGGAAGCCUGAUGCAGCAACGCCGCGUGCGGGAUGACGGCCUUCGGGUUGUAAACCGCUUUCGCCUGUGACGAAGCGUGAGUGACGGUAAUGGGUAAAGAAGCACCGGCUAACUACGUG